rnacentral:rRNA from 1 species
CGGGCCAGACUCCUACGGGAGGCAGCAGUGAGAAAUAUUGGGCAAUGGGCGAAAGCCUGACCCAGCAACGCCGCGUGAGGGAUGAAGGCCUUCGGGUUGUAAACCUCUUUUCUGGGAGAAGAGACAAGGACGGUAUCCCAGGAAUAAGUCUCGGCUAACUACGUGCCAGCAGCCGCGGUAAUACGUAGGAGGCAAGCGUUAUCCGGAUUCACUGGGCGUAAAGCGCACGCAGGCGGUCAUGUAAGUCGGACGUGAAAGCUCCUGGCUCAACUGGGAAAGGUCGUUCGAUACUGCAUGGCUUGAGGUUGGGAGAGGGAAGCGGAAUUCCCGGUGUAGUGGUGGAAUGCGUAGAUAUCGGGAGGAACACCAGUGGCGAAAGCGGCUUCCUGGCCCAUACCUGACGCUCAGGUGCGAAAGCGUGGGGAGCGAACGGGAUUAGAUACCCCGGUAGUCCACGCUGUAAACGAUGCGAACUAGGUGUUGGUAGUAUUAAUCCUAUCAGUGCCGUAGCUAACGCGAUAAGUUCGCCGCCUGGGGACUACGGCCGCAAGGCUAAAACUCAAAGGAAUUGACGGGGGCCCGCACAAGCAGCGGAGCGUGUGGUUUAAUUCGAUGCAACACGAAGAACCCUACCUGGGCUUGACAUGGUCGUAGUAGUGAACCGAAAGGGGAACGAGCCUUCGGGCAGCGAUCACAGGUGCUGCAUGGCUGUCGUCAGCUCGUGUCGUGAGAUGUUGGGUUAAGUCCCGCAACGAGCGCAACCCUCGCUACUAGUUAAAUCUGUCUGGUGGGACUGCCGGAGUCAAACCGGAGGAAGGUGGGGAUGACGUCAAGUCAGCAUGGCCUUUAUGUCCAGGGCUACACACACGCUACAAUGGCCGGUACAAUGGGUCGCCAAGCCGCGAGGCGGAGCUAAUCCCAUCAAAGCCGGUCUCAGUUCGGGUUGUAGGCUGCAACCCGCCUACAUGAAGUCGGAGUUGCUAGUAACCGCAGGUCAGCUAUACUGCGGUGAAUACGUUCCCGGGCCUUGUACACACCGCCCGUCACGUCAUGGGAGCUGGUAACACCUGAAGCCGGUGAGCUAACCGUAAGGAGGCAGCUGUCGAAGGUGGGGCCGGUGACUGGGACGAAGUCGUAACAAGGUAGCUGUAGCGGAAGCUGCGGCUG